AAACUUUCAACAACGGAUCUCUUGGUUCUGGCAUCGAUGAAGAACGCAGCGAAAUGCGAUAAGUAAUGUGAAUUGCAGAAUUCAGUGAAUCAUCGAAUCUUUGAACGCACAUUGCGCCCGUCAGUAUUCUGGCGGGCAUGCCUGUUCGAGCGUCA
rnacentral:rRNA from 1 species